rnacentral:rRNA from 1 species
AGGAUGAACGCUGGCGGCGUGCUUAACACAUGCAAGUCGAACGGGGUGCCCUUGAAGGAGUUUUCGGACAACAGAUAGGGUUACUUAGUGGCGGACGGGUGAGUAACGCGUGAGGAACCUGCCUUGGAGUGGGGAAUAACAGCUGGAAACAGCUGCUAAUACCGCAUGAUGCAGUUGGGCCGCAUGGCUCUGACUGCCAAAGAUUUAUCGCUCUGAGAUGGACUCGCGUCUGAUUAGCUAGUUGGCGGGGUAACGGCCCACCAAGGCGACGAUCAGUAGCCGGACUGAGAGGUUGGCCGGCCACAUUGGGACUGAGACACGGCCCAGACUCCUACGGGAGGCAGCAGUGGGGAAUAUUGGGCAAUGGGCGCAAGCCUGACCCAGCAACGCCGCGUGAAGGAAGAAGGCUUUCGGGUUGUAAACUUCUUUUGUCAGGGACGGAGCAAGUGACGGUACCUGACGAAUAAGCUACGGCUAACUACGUGCCAGCAGCCGCGGUAAUACGUAGGUGGCAAGCGUUAUCCG